UCUUCUUCCUCAUUCCUAUCUUUGAUUAAUUUCUUUCUCCUUCAACCUCCACCGUUCCCAUUUUCGGUUAUCGGCGUACCCCUGCAUCAAUUUGGGCCAAAUUACAGAGCCCAUUAAAUCCGGGCCUUCGGUGGGAAAAAAGCUGGAGUUGGGCCUGUGGUUCGGUCCAUUGUGGCAUUAAGGCCCAAGUAUUGACUAGGGCUCACAUAGAUCACUUGCGAAUUGAUUCCGUCCAUUUUGUUUCAACUGAACAUUUGCAACGCACGUGGUUAAUAAACGUCAGCUGAUUUUACAUUCUUCCAGCUUUUUCUUUCUUCUCCGGCCGUUGCUGAUUCCUCUCCUCAUUGCUCCGGUCGCCGUUUCAAUGGACGGGCUUAAGGUUUCCGAUGCUAAUAUGGUUGUUUACGUUCACCCAUCCAAAAGUAAGAAGGUUUCACAAGCGGUGCUUCGAGUGCUCGGCGCUAUGCUUCUAAAAUUUGAUGAAAAAUUUGAAGGUGUGCUACUGGCUUAUGAGGCCAAAAUUAUCGAUAAAAUUGCGAAGAUUCUAUCUGGAGUGCAUCCCUAUUUUGGCGUGACAAUAAAGGCAAAGCUAUUACUUUUCUCUCCAAAGCCAAACAUGCUUGUACUUCAUUGCAUUAUGAUGGUAGACAUAUUAAAAGGACUAAUGGGAGGCCAAAUGUUCUAUUUCUCUCCUUGUCCAUGCUUUGCUGAUAGUUUUGUUAUCACUUCAGAGGGAAAGGUGGUGAAGCUUAGGCAGGAAUCAAUCCAUGUUAUUGUCUUAGGUUUUGCUUCUGCUGUAAUAACCAAUGAAGACAUUCGCGACGAAUUCAAGCAUAGAACAAAACAUGGAGAAGAAAUGUUUGUCAGCCGAGCUCACAAGCACCAUGUAAUAAAGGUUGGGACAAUGAUACGAUUUUUGGUGAAGAGUUUUGAUGAGGAAAUAUUGCAUAUCGCUGGAUCUCUAGUUCCAUCUCACACGGGAAGCAUCCAUUGGUUGGAGAAGAAUUCGGUUGAGGGUACAGUAACUAGUAGUAGUAAAAAGAAGAUGAGAGAAAAUGAGGGGGAGGUGAUGUUGCAGGAUAGCGUUGCCACCGAGGUAAAUGCACUUAUCUUGAACAAUGACCAUCAGUCGAAAACGAAAAAGCAAAAAACUACCAGAAUAUCUUGAAGACUGCUAAUUGUCAUACAACAUAGAUCGUUUUUGUAUCAGGGUGGUGAUGAUUCAAACUUCGAAGUGGAGAUCCUCAUUGUUUUCCAAUUGUAAGAAAGGAUUGGGAGAUGCAUCUUGCUGUUGGGAAAACCACCUCCACGUUGAUAAUGACAACUUUUAUACAUCAGGGUGUGACAAAUGCAGCUGCCCACUUUUGUAACUUCUAUGAAGAGAUAGCCCAAAUCCAUGUAUUAUGGGCUUAGGCCCAAUAGACCUUGGAGCUGCAAAUAAUUCAUCAUCUUCUUCAUCAUUAUAAGGGUUUUGAAGAUCUUCAAAAGAUAUGCGGUGAAGAUAUGAUUAAAUUUCAAUUGCAGAAAUGAUUCUGAUAAACCAUCCUCUCUUUGUCAGAACGGUACUCUUGCACGUUCUUAGACUUCAUUUUUUUUUCCCUUGUUUAGAACCUGCAAACUAAACUUGCCAAAUCAAACCCUCUUUCGUCUUUUUAUAUUAAAUUGGUAUUAAUGAUUGAAAGGGGGUUUAACGUUUAAGAGACCAAGUCUUUAUUCGAAGAUAUUGUAAGGUCUGUUAUGGAAAUCUUAUAGUUGGUGAAUUUGAAUGCGAUGUUC